rnacentral:rRNA from 1 species
CUGGGGCUGAAGUAGGUCCCAAGGGUAUGGCUGUUCGCCAUUUAAAGUGGUACGCGAGCAGGGUUCAGAACGUCGUGAGACAGUUCGGUCCCUAUCUGCCUUGGGCGUUAGAGAUUUGAGAAGAGUUGCUCCUAGUACGAGAGGACCGGAGUGAACGAACCACUGGCGAUCCCGUUGUUUCGCCAUAAGCAUUGCCGGGUAGCUAAGGUAGGACGGGAUAAUCGCUGAA